rnacentral:rRNA from 1 species
AGCAGCCGCGGUAAUUCCAGCUCCAAUAGCGUAUAUUAAAGUUGUUGCAGUUAAAAAGCUCGUAGUUGAAUUUCGGGAUCAAUGUUUCGGUCAUGCCGUUGGUAUGUACUGAUAUUAUUGAUUUCUCACCUUCUAAAGAACCGUAAUGCCAUUAAUUUGGUGUCACGGGGAAUUAGGACUGUUACCUUGAAAAAUUAGAGUGUUUAAAGCAGGCUCACGCUUGAAUACAUUAGCAUGGAAUAAUGAAAUAGGACGUUCGAUCCUAUUUUGUUGGUUUCUAGGAUUGACGUAAUGAUUAAUAGGGAUAGUUGGGGGCAUUAGUAUUCAAUUGUCAGAGGUGAAAUUCUUGGAUUUAUUGAAGACUAACUACUGCGAAAGCAUUUGCCAAGGAUGUUUUCAUUAAUCAAGAACGAAAGUUAGGGGAUCGAAGACGAUCAGAUACCGUCGUAG